AAGAUUUUAAGUUAAUUAAACUAAUAGCCUUCAAAGCUAUAAAUAAAAUUAUUUUUUUUAAAUCUUA
rnacentral:tRNA from 1 species